rnacentral:lncRNA from 1 species
UUCGUAUAGCACAUAUUUAUGAUAUUUUAAGCAUACUUCAUGAUUUGAGUCAGUCAACGACGUUUUAUUUUUCUCUACAGAUUUAGAUAGAAUAUUUCAUAUAAUUAUUGCAAUUAUAAAUUUGUUAAAGUAAGUAAAUAGUUUAAAACUUUAAGUUAAAAUAUCAUUGAUUGAUCCAAAUCAGAUAAAUUGAAAAAAUUGGAUAGUAAAAUUAAAAUUUUAAAAUUUUAAAUAAUCAACUAAAAAUUGUCCAUAGUCCAAAUAAGUUACGAAGUUAUGAUAGCUUCUCCCAAAAUUUAUUUACUCCCCAAAUAAUAGCAAAAGUGUCAAAUAUAGUAAUUUUUUUGGGUUAAUUUUACACAGGCCCCUACAAAACAUAAUGAAUUGUAAAUAUAUUCCUACAAAGUUCAACUUCUAUAUAUUGUCCUUGCAAACAUUUUAAUAUUUUCAAAUAUAUUUCUACUGUUAGGAUCCGUUAUAAAAAAUUAGUUAAUCAUAUAUUAAAUACUUAACAUUAGUUAGUUAAUGAGGUGAAUUGAUCUUUUCGUCCCUCUUUAAUUAGUGGUUGAGAUUUUUAGAAAAAUAUAUUUGUAUUGCCAAAAAGGUCAUUUCACUUAUAAAAUAAACAGUAUUUUAACGAUAACAAAUCAGAGAAACAUAUUUGAAAAUAUUUAGACUUUUGUAGAAACAACAUAUAAAAAUUAAACUUUAUAAUAAUAUAUUUGUAAUUUACUAUAUUUACAGGGACUUGAAUAAAAUUAAUUCCUUUUUUUCU